UACGGGGGGGGCAAGCGUUGUUCGGAAUUACUGGGCGUAAAGGGCUCGUAGGUGGCCAACUAAGUCGGAUGUGAAAUCCCCAGGCUCAACCUGGGAACUGCAUCCGAUACUGGAUGGCUUGAAUCCGGGAGAGGGAUGCAGAAUUCCAGGUGUAGCGGUGAAAUGCGUAGAUAUCUGGAGGAAUACCGGUGGCGAAGGCGGCAUCCUGGACCGGCAUUGACGCUGAGGAGCGAAAGCUAGGGGAGCAAACGGG
rnacentral:rRNA from 1 species